UGCAAUGAUGUCGUAAUUUGCGUCUUACUCUGUUCUCAGCGACAGUUGCCUGCUGUCAGUAGGCUGGUUCAGAAGGGUGACGAGAAUUAUUACUGAGCA
rnacentral:snoRNA from 1 species